UACGUAGGGACCAAGCGUUGUCCGGAAUCAUUGGGCGUAAAGAGCGUGUAGGCGGCUUGUUAAGUCUUGCGUGAAAUCUCGGGGCUCAACCCCGAGCGGUCGUGAGAAACUGGCAGGCUAGAGUGCGGGAGAGGAGAGUGGAAUUCCUGGUGUAGCGGUGAAAUGCGCAGAUAUCAGGAAGAACACCCGUGGCGAAGGCGGCUCUCUGGAACGCAACUGACGCUGAGACGCGAAAGCGUGGGGGGCAAACAGG
rnacentral:rRNA from 1 species